rnacentral:rRNA from 1 species
UACAGAGGGUGCAAGCGUUGUUCGGAAUUAUUGGGCGUAAAGGGCGCGUAGGCGGUGCUGUAAGUCUGUGGUGAAAUCUCUGGGCUCAACUCAGAGUCUGCCAUAGAAACUGCAGUGCUGGGAGUGUGGGAGAGGUGAGUGGAAUUCCCGGUGUAGCGGUAGAAAUGCGUAGAUAGUCGGGAGGAACACCUGUGGCGAAAGCGGCUCACUGGACCACAACUGACGCUGAGGCGCGAAAGCUAGGGGAGCAAACAGG